rnacentral:rRNA from 1 species
CGGUAUGUGGCAACACAUAGAGUGGCGAACGGGUGAGUAACACGUGGGAACGUACCCUACGCAGGGGGAUAACUGACCGAAAGGACAGCUAAUACCGCAUAAGACCGAAAGGUGAAAGGUGCAACUGCACCGGCGAAGGAGCGGCCCGCGGACCAUCAGCUAGUUGGUGGGGUAAGAGCCUACCAAGGCAACGACGGAUAGCCGGCGUGAGAGCGUGGCCGGCCACAAGGACACUGAGAUACGGGUCCUACUCCUACGGGAGGCAGCAGUGCGGAAUUUUAGAUAAUGGAGGCAACUCUGAUCUAGCGACGCCGCGUGCAGGAAGAAGGUCUUCGGAUUGUAAACUGCUGUGGUAAGGGAAAAAUGCCAUGUAGAGUGGAAAGCUACAUGGAGGGAUGGUACUUUACUAGAAAGCCCCGGCUAACUACGUGCC